rnacentral:rRNA from 1 species
UGGGGAAUAUUGCACAAUGGGCGAAAGCCUGAUGCAGCGACGCCGCGUGAGGGAUGACGGCCUUCGGGUUGUAAACCUCUUUCAGUAGGGACGAAGCGCAAGUGAAGGUACCUGCAGAAGAAGCACGGGCUAACUACGUGCCAGCAGCCGCGGUAAUACGUAGGUGGCGAGCGUUGACCGGAAUUACUGGGCGUAAAGAGCUCGUAGGCGGUUUGUCACGUCGUCUGUGAAAUCCUAGGGCUUAACCCUGGACGUGCAUGCGAUACGGGCUGACUUGAGUGCUGCAGGGGAGACUGGAAUUUCUGGUGUAGCGGUGGAAUGCACAGAUAUCAGGAAGAACACCGAUGGCGAAGGCGGGUCUCUGGCUAGUAACUGACGCUGAGGAGCGAAAGCGUGGGUAGCGAACAGG